GACGAACGCUGGCGGCGUGCUUAACACAUGCAAGUCGAACGGAAAGGCCCUGCUUUUGUGUGGUGCUCGCGUGGCGAAGGUGUGAGUAACACGUGAGUAACCUGCCCUGUACUUUGGGAUAACUUCAGGAAACUGGGGCUAAUACCGGCUAGGAGCUCCUGCUGCAUGGUGGGGUUUGGAAAGUUUCGGCGGUUGGGGAUGGACUCGCGGCUUAUCAGCUUGUUGGUGGGGUAGUGGCUUACCAAGGCUUUGGCGGGUAGCCGGCCUGAGAGGGGGACCGGGCACAUUGGGACUGAGAGACGGACCAGACUCCUACGGGAGGCAGCAGUGGGGAAUAUUGCACAAUGGGCGGAAGCCUGAUGCAGCAACGCCGCGUGCGGGAUGACGGCCUUCGGGUUGUAAACCGCUUUCGCCUGUGACGAAGCGUGAGUGACGGUAAUGGGUAAAGAAGCACCGGCUAACUACGUG
rnacentral:rRNA from 1 species